rnacentral:rRNA from 1 species
UACGUAGGGGGCUAGCGUUGUCCGGAAUUAUUGGGCGUAAAGAGCUCGUAGGCGGUUUGUCGCGUCUGCUGUGAAAACUGGAGGCUCAACCUCCAGCCUGCAGUGGGUACGGGCAGACUAGAGUGCGGUAGGGGUGACUGGAAUUCCUGGUGUAGCGGUGGAAUGCGCAGAUAUCAGGAGGAACACCGAUGGCGAAGGCAGGUCUCUGGGCCAUUACUGACACUGAGAAGCGAAAGCAUGGGGAGCGAACAGG